AGAGUUUGAUCCUGGCUCAGAUUGAACGCUGGCGGCAUGCUUUACACAUGCAAGUCGAACGGCAGCACAGAGAAGCUUGCUUCUUGGGUGGCGAGUGGCGAACGGGUGAGUAACAUAUCGGAACGUACCGAGUAAUGGGGGAUAACUAAUCGAAAGAUUAGCUAAUACCGCAUAUUCUCUGAGGAGGAAAGCAGGGGACCUUCGGGCCUUGCGUUAUUCGAGCGGCCGAUAUCUGAUUAGCUAGUUGGUGGGGUAAAGGCCUACCAAGGCGACGAUCAGUAGCGGGUCUGAGAGGAUGAUCCGCCACACUGGGACUGAGACACGGCCCAGACUCCUACGGGAGGCAGCAGUGGGGAAUUUUGGACAAUGGGCGCAAGCCUGAUCCAGCCAUGCCGCGUGUCUGAAGAAGGCCUUCGGGUUGUAAAGGACUUUUGUCAGGGAAGAAAAGGCUGUCGCUAAUACCGACAGCUGAUGACGGUACCUGAAGAAUAAGCACCGGCUAACUACGUGCCAGCAGCCGCGGUAAUACGUAGGGUGCGAGCGUUAAUCGGAAUUACUGGGCGUAAAGCGAGCGCAGACGGUUACUUAAGCAGGAUGUGAAAUCCCCGGGCUCAACCUGGGAACUGCGUUCUGAACUGGGUGACUAGAGUGUGUCAGAGGGAGGUAGAAUUCCACGUGUAGCAGUGAAAUGCGUAGAGAUGUGGAGGAAUACCGAUGGCGAAGGCAGCCUCCUGGGAUAACACUGACGUUCAUGCCCGAAAGCGUGGGUAGCAAACAGGAUUAGAUACCCUGGUAGUCCACGCCCUAAACGAUGUCAAUUAGCUGUUGGGCAACUUGAUUGCUUAGUAGCGUAGCUAACGCGUGAAAUUGACCGCCUGGGGAGUACGGUCGCAAGAUUAAAACUCAAAGGAAUUGACGGGGACC
rnacentral:rRNA from 1 species